UGAACUCACAAUCCUUCUCUAUUUCUGAAGUGCUGAGAUGACAGGUAUGUACCACCACAUCCAGUUAAUGUGGGGGUAGGGAUAGAUUCAGGGCUAUCAUGGGUUUUUUUGUUUGUUUGUUUGUUUGUUUGUUUUUCCUUUAUUUUUUCUUUGUUUGAGACAGGGUCUCACAUAGCCUGGGCUGGCUUUUAUUGCGUAUCCAUGGAUGACCUUGAAGUUUUUAUCUUCCUGCCUCUACUGUCCAACUGCUAGGAAUAUUGGGGUGCACCAUAAUGCCCAGUGUCUUAUACUGCAAAAUGUAGACCCUAGGGCUUGGUAUGUGCCAAGCAAGUACUCUACCAACUGAGCUACAUACUCACCCCUCACCUUCUCUCUAUUUUGUUGUGAGUCAGGGUCUUUCUAUGUAACCCUAGCUGAUCUGGAACUCACUAUAUAAACCAGGCUGGCCUUGAACUUAGAGAUCAGUCUGCCUCUGCCUCUGCCCGUGUGUACUUUUGUAGGUUAAUGGCAUGUACCAUCACACCUGGUUCCAAAAUGAAUAUGUUUAAUGAGCAUGAAGUAACGGGAGUUUGAAGGUAAUCUUCAAAAAAAAAAAAAAAAAA
rnacentral:lncRNA from 1 species